rnacentral:lncRNA from 1 species
ACAGCAGUAGUUCAGUGACAAACAGUUAAUAUGUGCAACAAUGUGUUUGUAUGCAAGACGGAAAUGGAAAUGCUAAAGCAUCAUAAAAAUACCAAUAAGAAAAGAGCUGCCAAAAUUCUCACAUGUAGAGAACAUAGAGGCAGCAAACUAUAACCAUAAAAUGAAAAGACCACAUUUUAACAUUUAGAAAGCAACUAUACAGAAGACAAAAGUGACAAACAUGCAGGACAAGUAAGAGAGGCACAGUGUCGAACGAAAAGUAACAUUUC